AUCCUCCACAUCGUCUCCAACAACCACUCCUUCUCCUACAUCAGCCUCUCCACCCUCUUCCCAGUUUCUUCCCUAUGGGCUCCUGUCUCUAACUGGUGUCGUUGUUGUGGUUUUACUGCUGGUUCUACUGGUGAAACAUCAGGUUAACAGGAAAUCUAGAGGUAAUCAGGAAGUUGGAGAGGAAAGUAUCAUUUACAGCGAUGUUAAAAUAUCCCAGCAUAAACAACGGAGAAACAAACCAAACAAAGAACCAGAAGUGGUCUAUUCUUCACUGAGGUAGUCCUCCAGUUCCAGCAGAAAUGUCCAGCUGUCAGCUCAUCUUCAGCCUGCAGAUAAAGAUCUACUUCUGCUGAAGAUCUGCUUCUUUCUCUGGAAAUGAGUUCAGCAAGAUGGACACAAAGGUCUCCUGAAUGUAUUUCAAUGUUUCAUUAUCAGUGUGGUGUUCAAUGUUCUCAGUAACUUCAGUUAUUUUCUGUUUUCAAUGUUUGGUCUGAACUGUUCUAACCACAGCAGCACGAUGGUUCCUCUGCAGCUUCAACAUGUUUAACCUGCGGUUCUGUAGUUUGUUUCUAACAUUUCAGACAUGAUGUUCCUGUUUGUUUGUGGCUGACCAAUGGAAACGAUUCUUCAGAGCAGCUUGGAAAGAAAUGAAACCAAAACCGCAGAAUAAAACCUGCAGAAAACCCCUCAGUGUUAAACCAAAGCAGUUAGCUUUAGCUUGUUUUAAUGUUUUAUCUAGAAAUGCUUUGAAUGAACAAACCAACAAAAUGUCAUAAACUGCAGGUUAUGUUGAUUAAUUAAAAUAAAUUCAGUGUUUGUAUAUUUAUAACAAAUAGAUCUACCUGAUGGGUCCCAGCUCAGCCAUCAGUGGGUUUUAUCUCUGAUCAAUCGACCAACCUGGAGAAGAUCUAAAGUUGAUUUAAGGUCAUAAAGAGUUCCCAGUUUUACUCUGAUUUAAAUAUUUAGGUUUUUACUCAUAGAUCCAAACAAUAAAAUUCUAGUUUAAUCAGAACAUCAGACAUGAAGCUCUGACCCGGGCCUGUUGGACCCACUUUGGUACCACUGGAACAUAAUACUGGCCUCAACCUGUAGUGUUGAUAAGUUCUGUUAAACUAUAAUAAAACAUUAAUAAUUAAUCAGACUCAGUAAAUAUUAAUCAGUCUGAAGGAGGAUUUUUAUUUCCUAAUUAGGAAGUUUUCUUUUAUCAAGAAGGAUGUUUUCUAUUUAUAGCAAAGUUGCAAAUUUAUUCUAGUCAAUUUAAUUAAAGCAUAAAAAUAAAAGAAAAUCAUAGAAAAACCAACGUUAGACUAACUACUUCUGACUGGGUCUGAAUGUUCAGAAUAUCAUCUCAGCUGAACCAGAAGAAGACUUUAGACAAACAUACAUGUUCUUCAUGUUAAUUAAUGAGAAAAUAAUCAAAUCUGUUCAUUUUCCAUCAUCGUGUUUAAAGAGAACAAGGAAAACAAAAGAAAAGCUUAACUUCUGGAGCUUCUACUGACUGUUGCUCUGAACAUCGUCACCAUCAAGUGCACUAAGGCAGGAACAAACCAUUUCAUGCAGAUACAGGGGGGUGAUUACUUUUUGGUCUGGGAGACAUUUAACUGUUACUGCCAAAGACAAGUAAAAACAAAGCCAUCAUUAACUUUAUUUUUUAUAAGCUUGAUGAUGGUUAUUAAUUAUGUCCAAUCCUAAUGUUUCCCUCCUUUACGGCGCCACUGAUGCAAUCUGCUGGGUUUCCUUAGAUGGAAAACUUUUUAACCAACUAGAAUAAUAAACUGAGUUUGACUGCAUUGUUUGAUAAUUAGGAUAAAUUAAAAUAUAUUUAUUUAACUUGGAACAUGUAUGAUUGAUUGAAUUGACUUUGUGCUUUAAAAUAACAUGUUGUGAAGUGGUGCUAUAUAAUUAAACUGAAUUAUAUA